AUGCCUGAUCGUCCUACCUUUUGGGUCAGCCGAGAACAACACUUUGCCCUCUUCUGUGUUCUAGCCCUUCAGGUAUUGGCAGAGUGCUAUCACUUCCCUCUUGGUCUCCUCACUUUGGUGCUUUGCUAUCCCCUGACAGCUAUGGAGUCCCAUUCGAAGCUGUUCCCUGCUAACUCCGCUUGCAGCGACAGAUGCUCCUCUGCAUGGUGUGCCUCCCCUGGAAGCCAGAGGUGCUGGGAUGUAGAAACUGUUGGGCCACCUCUGCUGCUUUCUUACUCCAGCUUGGAGGAGCUGAAGGAGAUGGAAGCCUUGAGACUGAAGGUGGCAAUGCUGCGCCAGCAACUUGAGAUACAGAAGGCCAUGGAAGCUGAACUCCUCCCUCUUCUAGAACCUGGACGUAUUCAGGAAAGCUCCAGAGCAUCACUGUGCCGUGCCAUUUACACCUUGCUGUGUGAAGGAGGUGAACGCUUCCCUGUUCUUGUGCAUGAUGAGGAGUUGCCCAGCUGACUUGACGCCUCAAUCUGACAUAUGACAAUGUGCAUAGAAAGCACUGAACUCUGGCUGCAGUCUUUAAACCAGUGCACAUCCUUGGACUGUUCUGUGAAUGAUCAAGCUUAAUAGUACUCUAAGGGGCAUUGCCUGCAUUCAUAAAGCAAAUAAAUUUAUUUUAUACCUUUGAAAUCUUUCUCUUGCACAAAUUUCUUUCAGCCUCAUCUGAAACUUCUCAAACAGGUUCUGA
rnacentral:lncRNA from 1 species